rnacentral:rRNA from 1 species
UACGAAGGGAGCUAGCGUUGUUCGGAAUCACUGGGCGUAAAGCGCACGUAGGCGGAUGUGUCAGUCAGGGGUGAAAGCCCGGAGCUCAACUCCGGAACUGCCUUUAAGACUGCAUCGCUUGAAUCCAGGAGAGGUGAGUGAAAUUCCGAGUGUAGAGGUGAAAUUCGUAGAUAUUCGGAAGAACACCAGUGGCGAAGGCGGCUCACUGGACUGGUAUUGACGCUGAGGUGCGAAAGCGUGGGGAGCAAACAGG